CCCCUAGUAACUGCGAGUGAAGCGGGAAAAGCUCAAAUUUAAAAUCUGGCGGUCUCUGACUGUCCGAGUUGUAAUCUAGAGAAGCGUUAUCCGCGCUGGACCGUGUACAAGUCUCCUGGAAUGGAGCGUCAUAGAGGGUGAGAAUCCCGUCUUUGACACGGACUGCCAGGGCUUUGUGAUGCGCUCUCAAAGAGUCGAGUUGUUUGGGAAUGCAGCUCAAAAUGGGUGGUAAAUUCCAUCUAAAGCUAAAUAUUGGCGAGAGACCGAUAGCGAACAAGUACCGUGAGGGAAAGAUGAAAAGAACUUUGGAAAGAGAGUUAAACAGUACGUGAAAUUGCUGAAAGGGAAACGCUUGAAGUCAGUCGCGUUGGCCAGGGAUCAACCUUGCUUUUGCUUGGUGCACUUUCUGGUUGACGGGUCAGCAUCAAUUUUGACUAUUGGAAAAAGGUCAAGGGAAUGUGGCAUCUUCGGAUGUGUUAUAGCCCUUGGUUGCAUACAAUGGUUGGGAUUGAGGAACUCAGCACGCCGCAAGGCCGGGUUUUAACCACGUACGUGCUUAGGAUGCUGGCAAAAUGGCUUUAAUCGACCCGUCUUGAAACACGGACCAAGGAGUCUAACAUGCCUGCGAGUGUUUGGGUGGAAAACCCGAGCGCGUAAUGAAAGUGAAAGUUGAGAUCCCUGUCGUGGGGAGCAUCGACGCCCGGACCAGACCUUUUGUGACGGUUCCGCGGUAGAGCAUGUAUGUUGGGACCCGAAAGAUGGUGAACUAUGCCUGAAUAGGGUGAAGCCAGAGGAAACUCUGGUGGAGGCUCGUAGCGAUUCUGACGUGCAAAUCGAUCGUCAAAUUUGGGUAUAGGGGCGAAAGACUAAUCGA
rnacentral:rRNA from 2 species